GGUUGCGAUCAUACCAGCACUAAUGCACCGAAUCCCAUCAGAACUCCGCAGUUAAACGUGCUUGGGCGAGAGUAGUACUAGGAUGGGUGACCCCCUGGGAAGUCCUCGUGUUGCAACCC
rnacentral:rRNA from 1 species